AUCAACUUUCGAUGGUAGGAUAGAGGCCUACCAUGGUGGUAACGGGUAACGGGGUGUUAGGGCACGACACCGGAGAGGGAGCCUGAGAAACGGCUACCACAUCCAAGGAUGGCAGCAGGCGCGCAAAUUACCCAAUCCCGACACGGGGAGGUAGUGACAAUAAAUAACAAUACGGGGUUCUUUCGGAUUUCGUAAUUGGAAUGAGUACAAUUUAAAUCUCUUAACGAGGAACAAUUGGAGGGCAAGUCUGGUGCCAGCAGCCGCGGUAAUUCCAGCUCCAAUAGCGUAUAUUAAAGUUGUUGCAGUUAAAAAGCUCGUAGUUGAAUUUCGGGAUCAUCAGGUUGGUCGUGCCUCUGGUAUGUACUGAUCUCGGUGGUACCUACUUCUUGAAGAACCGUAAUGCCAUUAAUUUGGUGUUGCGGGGAAACAGGACUGUUACUUUGAAAAAAUUAGAGUGUUUAAAGCAGGCAAUCGCUUGAAUACAUUAGCAUGGAAUAAUGAAAUAGGACGUUCGAUCCUAUUUUGUUGGUUUCUAGGAUUGACGUAAUGAUUAAUAGGGAUAGUUGGGGGCAUUAGUAUUCAAUUGUCAGAGGUGAAAUUCUUGGAUUUAUUGAAGACUAACUACUGCGAAAGCAUUUGCCAAGGAUGUUUUCAUUAAUCAAGAACGAAAGUUAGGGGAUCGAAGACGAUCAGGUACCGUCGUAGUCUUAACCAUAAACUAUGCCGACUAGGGAUCGGAUGAUGUUAAUUUUUUAAUGACUCAUUCGGCGCCUUACGGGAAACCAAAGUGUUUGGGUUC
rnacentral:rRNA from 1 species